CUCCCGAAGCUUCCCACAUCUGGAGGCUGACGACCCUCCCCUGCCCACAUCUGGAGAGCAUCCAGCUACAAACCAGCGGGGGCACGUCUCCUCUCUUUUCUUGGCCUGGAUCCCAACCCCCCAAGGAGGACUGAGGUGCUCACUUCUCCGACUCACCUGGCUUUCGGUGCCCUCCGGCGGCGCGGCCCGCCCCCCUGCGGACCCCCCAACCCGGCCGUCGUGCCCUGGAGGAUAUGGGUUACAGACCGUGCGGAGGCACCAGCUCCGCGGGCGGCUGUCCUGGCUCAAGUAGAAGAAAACCACCGGGGCCAGCGCCGGAAUCCCUUUCUCAAGCACAUGCCUGGUACCAGGGGAAGGGAACUGAGGACACACACAGUCAAGCGAAGACUGGCUAGAGAGGUAGGAGACACCAAACGCACCCCCUUUCACAGCUGUGCCUGCACCUCCUGGAGGAAAAGGAAGGCUUGGCGGUUUUUAUUGUACCCUGAAGACCCCAGAAGGAACCAGAUGUGGGACAGGAGGAGGCUGCAGAAAAGUGCCAGCCUUCCAUGCAGCAGAAAGGAAUCAGAUUUGGAGAAUGACUUCCAGCCCAACAGAUGUUCCAAAUGAAAGAGGACUCUCCGUGAACUGGUUGGUGUGAAAGCAGGGGCGUGGACAAUAUGACCUCCUGCAGGAAGGGCCCCAUACUGGUAAGGCUGGGGGGCUGGGUGGACACCCCCAAAAUGAGCAUCCCUGGUCCUAAGAAUGGCAGCUCCCAUGAUGUACCAGAGCAUAUGCAAAUGUUACCAUUCCUUGAAAAAUAA